AAUGAUGAACGGGCCUUCCUUAAACGAAGGCGUUCUCUGCUAAGAAAAACAAUAAAUUACCGACAGGUCUGUGGAUUUUAGAGGAGCUACAGAACGUCAGCAUUUCCUUGGUCUUGCUGACGUCGGUGUGUCCUCUCGGCCCGGAAGGCGACGGCAGCGAUCGAUCAGUGAUACGCACCGAUCGUUUAAUAUGUGCAGGGCACGUACUAAGCGUUUAUGGGGAUGUUCGUCUCUGGGAGCUGAGGGGCGCCACUUCUGAGCCGCGGUACUCCGGGACGGGAGGCCGGUCGCUGCAAGUCGAGUCACCGUACAGAAAGACGUCAGGCGCCGUAUCUGUAGCAGCGGAGAGACGAACCGGCUGGAAACUGAACCUGGGGCUCUUUCCUUUCUCGCCUCCUGGUCAUCUCAACCCGCCAUCACCACGUGGACAGUGCCUGAGAGAUACACUGAAAAUUCUGACAGCGUCACUUCUUUAUGAGAAGGUAUUUUCACUUCGGGAAACGGAAGCUGGAAGGGAGAGCUCUUAACCCCCGGAGAAGAUGCCUCAUAGAAAUCGAGGGAGAUGCAUUUCGAGAACAAUUCUCUGGUUGCAAGGCAGAAAAGUGCCUGUUCUGUUUCUUCAAAAUAGAAAAC